rnacentral:rRNA from 1 species
GUAUGAAUGGUUUGACAUUAUUGAACUGUAAAAUAUUAAAAAUAAGAAUUUAAAUUUUGAGUAAAAAUGCUUAAAUUUAGUAAAGGGACGAUAAGACCCUAAAAUCUUUAUUUGUAUAAUAUUGUUAGAAAGUUAAGAAAUAAAUUUUAACUGGGGAAGUAAAUAUAGUAUAAUUGUAUUUAAAAAAACAUCUGGAUAGAGGAGCUUUUUAUAAAAAUAAUUAGGUUUAGUUACUUUAGGGAUAACAGCAUAAUAAUUUUGGAAAGUCCUUAUUUAUGAAAUUGAUUAUGACCUCGAUGUUGAAUUAAAAUUUUUUAUUGAGGAAUAAGGCAAUAAAAAAGGUUUGUUCAACCUUUAAAUUUUUACAUGAUUU